rnacentral:rRNA from 1 species
UGGGGAAUUUUGGACAAUGGGCGCAAGCCUGAUCCAGCCAUGCCGCGUGCAGGAUGAAGGCCUUCGGGUUGUAAACUGCUUUUGUACGGAACGAAAAGACUCCUUCUAAUAAAGGGGGUCAAUGACGGUACCGUAAGAAUAAGCACCGGCUAACUACGUGCCAGCAGCCGCGGUAAUACGUAGGGUGCAAGCGUUAAUCGGAAUUACUGGGCGUAAAGCGUGCGCAGGCGGUUAUGCAAGACAGAGGUGAAAUCCCCGGGCUCAACCUGGGAACUGCCUUUGUGACUGCAUAGCUAGAGUACGGUAGAGGGGGAUGGAAUUCCGCGUGUAGCAGUGAAAUGCGUAGAUAUGCGGAGGAACACCGAUGGCGAAGGCAAUCCCCUGGACCUGUACUGACGCUCAUGCGCGAAAGCGUGGGGAGCAAACA